rnacentral:lncRNA from 1 species
GGAUUCAAAAUGUAAAUUGAGAUAGUCGGAAGCAUAUCCGUAUCUCUAUAUUAUUGAUUCCUUUGGGGACGCCCUAAGGAUAAUUGACCAGUUGGGCCCGGGGCUGUUCGAAAAAGACUGCUGGGCGGUAUUGGGCCGACGGUGGAUGGUCUCUUCGACAGUACCCAUAUUGGAUCUAGACCAUUGGCAUAGUUGGAGGUUAACUGUGCUGAUGGAUGGAUCGGCAUGCGCCCGGGCAUGCCUAUUGAUCGAUUAGCAGGGUAGCUCCCUGAUCGGUGUUAUAAGGUAGUUACGGCUAAGGGAGUCACAAGGCAGGUACAGGUACAUGAACAAAUUGUUACCAUGGGAAUCUCCAUGGUCUCAUAUUUGAUAUCCGAAAUUGUUAUCUUGGGAAUCUCCACGAAAUUCAUAAUUGAUAUCCGGGAAUUACCCGUUGAAUAUUGUUCUUUACCUG